GUUAUGACCGUUCCGAUAGCUUAAUGGUUAAAGCGUCCGCCUCGGAUUCAGGAGGUUGCGGUUUCGAACCCAGGCCGAAUCAUAGCA